GAAAGCAAUGCCAAAGCAAAAAAUUCAUUUAAAGGAAGAUGCUAUAAUUGUGGCCACAAAGGCCACAAAAUGAAUGAAUGCGAGAAAAAGUUUAAUCGUAUGAGAAGAAG